rnacentral:rRNA from 1 species
AGAGUUUGAUCCUGGCUCAGGAUGAACGCUAGCGGCAGGCUUAAUACAUGCAAGUCGAACGGUAACAGGGUAGCAAUACCGCUGACGAGUGGCGCACGGGUGCGUAACGCGUAUGCAACUUACCUUUAACUGGAGAAUAGCCCCUCGAAAGAGGGAUUAAUACUCCAUAGUAAUCAGAGAAGGCAUCUUUUUUGGUUUAAAGCUCCGGCGGUUAAAGAUGGGCAUGCGUGACAUUAGCUAGUUGGUGAGGUAACGGCUCACCAAGGCUACGAUGUCUAGGGGUUCUGAGGGGAUGAUCCCCCACACUGGUACUGAGACACGGACCAGACUCCUACGGGAGGCAGCAGUAAGGAAUAUUGGGCAAUGGACGCAAGUCUGACCCAGCCAUGCCGCGUGAAGGAUGACUGCCCUAUGGGUUGUAAACUUCUUUUGUACGGGAAUAAACCCGGGUACGUGUACCCGGCUGAAUGUACCGUAAGAAUAAGGAUCGGCUAACUCCGUGCCAGCAGCCGCGGUAAUACGGAGGAUCCAAGCGUUAUCCGGAUUCAUUGGGUUUAAAGGGUGCGUAGGCGGAUUUGUAAGUCAGUGGUGAAAUCCUACAGCUUAACUGUAGAACUGCCAUUGAUACUGCAAGUCUUGAGUACAUUUGAUGUGGGCGGAAUGUGUCAUGUAGCGGUGAAAUGCUUAGAUAUGACACAGAACACCGAUUGCGAAGGCAGCUCACAAAACUGUAACUGACGCUGAGGCACGACAGCGUGGGGAUCAAACAGGAUUAGAUACCCUGGUAGUCCACGCCGUAA